rnacentral:rRNA from 1 species
UACGUAGGGGCCAAGCGUUGUCCGGAUUUAUUGGGCGUAAAGCGCGCGUAGGCGGUUACUCAAGUCGGAUGUGAAAGCCCUCGGCUUAACUGAGGAAGUGCACCCGAAACUGAGUAGCUAGAGUACUAAAGAGGGUCGCGGAAUUCCCGGUGUAGAGGUGAAAUUCGUAGAUAUCGGGAGGAACACCGGUGGCGAAGGCGGCGACCUGGGUAGAUACUGACGCUGAGGCGCGAAAGCGUGGGGAGCAAACAGG